rnacentral:rRNA from 1 species
CAGUCGCCGCGGUAAUACGAAGGGUGCAAGCGUUACUCGGAAUUACUGGGCGUAAAGCGUGCGUAGGUGGUGGUUUAAGUCCGUUGUGAAAGCCCUGGGCUCAACCUGGGAAUUGCAGUGGAUACUGGGUCACUAGAGUGUGGUAGAGGAUAGUGGAAUUUCCGGUGUAGCAGUGAAAUGCGUAGAGAUCGGAAGGAACAUCUGUGGCGAAGGCGACUAUCUGGGCCAACACUGACACUGAGGCACGAAAGCGUGGGGAGCAAACAGGAUUAGAUACCCGCGUAGUCCCUGUCUCUCAUAC